rnacentral:lncRNA from 1 species
GGCCCGGGCCCCUUAGCACCCAGCAGAGUGAGGAGCUGAGCAGGUCUCUGCAAGGAGGGCUUUUGGGGCACUGCCGGCACACCACACGCUCCGGGCAGCAUGAUGUUCACUCCAUUCCUCCCACCUGCUCACUGGGAGCUGGAGCAAGAGGAUUUCCGCGUAAUUCAUGGACCUCCAAGGCCACCAACGAUCAAACUGAGGAACGCUUUGGCCUUUGUUUCCUUGACUGAUAUCAUGCAGAACCAAGUUGAAGACAAUGACUUGUCAGAGCAACUUGCUCUCCAUGAGUCUUGGAAGACCCCAUUCAGGAGAAUUAAUCGUCGUUUCACAAGAUGGUUUAGGAGAAAUUCCAUGGCUUAAUAUCAUGCAUGCUGCAAACACAGACCCAUGAACGGAUACAAUGACAUCUCCACAAUCAUCUUUUCCUCCUUUUUUGUGUUAUUCUAUUGGUUGUUGCCUAAUAAAGGCUUGCGUGCUUG